AAUGUUUUAUAAUAAAAUUUAAUUUAAUAUAAUUUUAUAUAGAAAGAGGAGGUACAGUAAAUGCACCCCAUAUACACCUCAACCUUGGUCCUUUGCCUGGUCUGUAUUGUGAAUUAGGGGACAAAA